AUUUAUAUUUCUAGUUUUGAAAUGCAGAUCUUCUGGUUGGUAAUAUUAAAAGAAGAGACACAAUUCCGUUUCGUGUAAAUAGUUUAAGAUGGUUAAAUGAAAAUAGCUUAAACUACAGAAAAACGAAGGAUAUACGAGAAAAUGAAGUUGAUCGACGUUUUGAGACAUCAGAAGCUAUGCUGAAGGAAGCUCAACGUGAAGCCCAAAUGAGAAAUAAUCAAAUCAAUGAUAUGCGAGACGAAGAAAUAGAUUCAUCGCAACUAUUAGGAGAUAAAUAUAGAAAUGGAAUUCUAG